GACAGAGGGUGCAAACGUUGCUCGGAAUCACUGGGCGUAAAGGGCGUGUAGGCGGGAAGGAAAGUCGGGCGUGAAAUCCCUGGGCUCAACCCAGGAACUGCACUCGAAACUUCUUUUCUUGAGUGCCGGAGGGGAUGGCGGAAUUCCUGGUGUAGAGGUGAAAUUCGUAGAUAUCAGGAGGAACACCUGUGGCGAAGGCGGCCAUCUGGACGGUAACUGACGCUGAGACGCGAAAGCGUGGGUAGCAAACAGG
rnacentral:rRNA from 1 species